rnacentral:rRNA from 1 species
UAGGGAAUCUUCCGCAAUGGACGAAAGUCUGACGGAGCAACGCCGCGUGAGUGAAGAAGGUUUUCGGAUCGUAAAACUCUGUUGUUAGAGAAGAACAAGUAGGAGAGUAACUGUUCCUGCCUUGACGGUAUCUAACCAGAAAGCCACGGCUAACUACGUGCCAGCAGCCGCGGUAAUACGUAGGUGGCAAGCGUUGUCCGGAUUUAUUGGGCGUAAAGCGAGCGCAGGCGGUUUCUUAAGUCUGAUGUGAAAGCCCCCGGCUUAACCGGGGAGGGUCAUUGGAAACUGGGAGACUUGAGUGCAGAAGAGGAGAGUGGAAUUCCAUGUGUAGCGGUGAAAUGCGUAGAUAUAUGGAGGAACACCAGUGGCGAAGGCGACUCUCUGGUCUGUAACUGACGCUGAGGCUCGAAAGCGUGGGGAGCAAACA